rnacentral:lncRNA from 1 species
CUCUUUGGAAAGUAAGAAAGUCUUUCCUAAAUUCAAAUGAUCAUUCUUAUUUUAGCUCCUUCUUUUAAAAGUCUGAGACAACUGAACGAAACUCAGCUUUCAAAAAGCCAAGGACGUCUUUGAAAUUUCAUUCUACAUUCCUGGAUUACUGAUGCUGCCUCUCUAUCAGAGCUCUUUAUCCUUCCUUCCCUUUUUGCAGACUUCAAAUCAGCCUCAGUUUUCUUCAAUUAUCCUUUUGCCUCUCCUUGCCUAGAAGAAACUCUGAAAAUUUUUUGCAUAUUUGAUGGAUAAGAUGGAAAGGACGGUAGGUGAGGAAAUACAGCAGCUAAGAUGACAAGCCAGCUCUCCACUGACCACACAGGCACAUCUCUAGCAAGGGACAGGAAGACAGAAGAAUGAAUGCAACAGGACUGCUAAGAAGUAAAGACAGUCUUCAGCUAUACAAGAAUAACAGCUAGAAAUAGACAAACUGAAGAAGAGUUUAUGGAAGGAGGAGCUGUUUUGUCCAGAGAACAGCCUGGUAGUUUUCCGUUUUCAAAUGCUUGGCUUUCGGGGCUCUGAUGUUUCCCUGCACAGUUGUGUCCAAUCAUGACAGAGACAAGGGAAACAGCCAAGGCUACAAUAUCAGAUUUAUACCACUGAGGACUGUGGCCACGAGAGGGCAGUAGAGGAAGCUUAUCAGAAUACUUGGACAGGAGUAAACUCGUGUGCGCGCUAAUCGCGAGCAGGGACUACGCAGAUCCUGCGAACUCGCUGGGGUCCAGCUUGCAGGCCGCUUCCGGAAAGCCGUGUCUAGAGGCUGCGGAGUUACUGAGACUGUGUGGCGAGGAAUCAGUGGCCUUGAGGGCACCGAGGCAUUGUCAUCCAGAAUCCCGAAACCUCUCACCUUAGGUUAUUAAAAUAAGUUAUCUUAUUGCCACCCCUCUGAUUACCCUGCCAGAAAGAUUCUCUGAAUUGGAUAUAGAAAGCUCUU